rnacentral:rRNA from 1 species
UCCGGCGACCGGCGCACGGGUGAGUAACACGUAUGCAACCUGCCCUCUUCAGGGGGACAACCUUCCGAAAGGGAGGCUAAUCCCGCGUAUAUCGGUUUCGGGCAUCCGAGAUCGAGGAAAGAUUCAUCGGAAGAGGAUGGGCAUGCGGCGCAUUAGCUAGACGGCGGGGUAACGGCCCACCGUGGCGACGAUGCGUAGGGGUUCUGAGAGGAAGGUCCCCCGCACUGGUACUGAGACACGGACCAGACUCCUACGGAAGGCAGCAG